ACAUGUAGGUGGCUUACCAUGCAAGUCGAGGGGUAACAUUACAGCUUGCUGUAGAUGACGACCGGCGCACGGGUGCGUAACGCGUAUACAAUUUGCCUUAUACUGGAGAAUAGCCCUGAGAAAUUGGGAUUAAUGCUCCAUAGUAUCUUAAAACGGCCUCGUUUAAAGAUUAAAGCUCCGGCGGUAUAAGAUGAGUAUGCGUCCUAUUAGUUUGUUGGUGAGGUAACGGCUCACCAAGACUACGAUAGGUAGGGGUCCUGAGAGGGAGAUCCCCCACACUGGUACUGAGACACGGACCAGACUCCUACGGGAGGCAGCAGUGAGGAAUAUUGGGCAAUGGAGGCAACUCUGACCCAGCCAUGCCGCGUGAAGGAAGACGGCCCUAUGGGUUGUAAACUUCUUUUAUACAGGAAGAAACGCAGAUACGUGUAUCUGUUUGACGGUACUGUACGAAUAAGGACCGGCGAACUCCGUGCCAGCAGCCGCGGUAAUACGGAGGGUCCAAGCGUUAUCCGGAAUCAUUGGGUUUAAAGGGUCCGUAGGCGGAUAAUUAAGUCAGAGGUGAAAGCCCACAGCUCAACUGUGGAACUGCCUUUGAUACUGGUUAUCUUGAGUUAUAGUGAAGUAGAUAGAAUAUGUAGUGUAGCGGUGAAAUGCAUAGAUAUUACAUAGAAAUACCGAUUGCGAAAGGCAGUCUACUAACUAUAUACUGACCGCCUGAUGGACGAAAGCCGUGGGGAGCGAACAGGAUUAGGAUACCCUGGUAGUCCCCCGCCCGUAAACGAUGGAAUACCUAGUUGUUGUCUUGCCUUGCCAGGAUCCAGUGACCAAGGCGAAGGUGAUAAGUUAUCCCUCCCCGGGAGAUACCGGUUCCGCAAGAUGAACUCAAAGGAUUGGACC
rnacentral:rRNA from 1 species